AACAGUCACCCGCCUGACCGCACAGCUGGGACCAACGGCAGAUGGAAGGUCUGGUCAAUGGCUCAAUGCGGAUGGAGUCUCAGAGUCCAACAGUGCGAGGGAGGAAGGAGAGAUGGCUUGACAUACCAACAAUCUGAAGGCUGUAUGGAUGGGAAGGCUGGCAGAUGGCUAGAGGAGGCACGGAGGGAUGGAAGGGCAGAUGGAAGCACAGUUGGAAAUGGCAGAUAGAUGGAGAGAGGACCAAUGGCCGGACAGAUAAAGAGGCUCCAAUGUCUGAGAGUGCAGGAACAAGGUAUUAGACAAAGAUGGAAUCUGGCAACACUGAGACCACGGAGUAUUGAAGCUUUGUAUGCCUAGUGGUGAGAAUAAAGUUGCCUAUCUGUGUAUUUAAGGAACCAGGCUAUCUUCCUUCCCUCUCCUCAGAAUGGGUCAAAGUUCUUCAAGUCUGCCUCCAAGCAUGGCAGAGGAAGGAGGAGGAAGCUGCAGUUCUGUUCACAACAGCCUACACGUGUGAAAAUCCAGGAAGUCACUGUAGCCAUCAGACUCCUGAGUUCACAAUAAGAGGAACCCUCAAGCAAGGAUUCUCCUAGAGCUCUGUUACUUUCUCCAGGCCUGGAGGCAUGCUAGGAGCCCUGGACAACUCCUUUAACACACAUUUUGAGACAGAAUCUUUCUGGCCUCCAAUAGCUGGGGUCACCCAAAUCCAUUUUCUACCUGACAGCAUUCAUUUUGCAUUCUGCUUGAGGGAGAAGAUCUGGAGAACACAAUGGGAUGGGGACUUUAUAGGUUCAUGACAGGUUGUCCUGAACCCAGGACCUCUGCCUUCCCCAUGAACUUGGCAAGGGAGACAUCUCUACCGUGUGUCUACAUAAUGGGAGUGCUACACACAAAACUCAGCCCAGAGGAGAUCCCAGCAGUUAAACUUGGAGUCUCUGAGGCUAGAAAGUUCGAGUCCCGUGUGCCGAGAUUCCACAUAGCCCGUGUCACAAGCUUCCUGAAUCUACCACACUGGAGUGUCUGGUCCCAGAGGGGAAGGCUAGGACCCUCUUCUUCCUGUGUCUGUCCCAUCACACUGCACAGGUCAGCCACCUGCUGGCACACCACCAAGAUUUGAAAAAGGU